CGGUGGGCCAACCUGUUGGCAGCACUUCUGUCAUAUGUUGGUCUCAUAAUGCCAGAGUGAUUUGAGUGCAGCCUGGGGCCCAUUGCCGUGGAUCUGGCUCCAUUUCUUUCAUUUUUAUGGAAAAUUGAAUCUUCUUCUUUCCUAAGAUUUUAUACUUGGAUUCUAUGAUUGACUGGUCUCCAUGGAAAAGAGCAGUUGGAGGGAUGUGAAGGAGGCCCUUGAAUCAGCGUUUAGCCAGCAUGGAGACUGUGUUCCAGCUUGGAACACAUGCUAGCAAUGGGAAGAAGGCAAAAAUGAAGCAACUGAGACUUAGAUGGAUUUGCCCAAAGUGACCUAACUACCAAGUAGUCAGAUCAAACCCAAACUUUUAACCUCCACGCUAGACUGCGCCUCCUCAUGUGUCACAGUGCAGUGCUCCUUAACAAACGCCUUCCGCUGCUCACUCGAGUUCAGAGAGUUCUUCCACGGUCAGCUCCUCCUUAUGGUCCUCAAGGAGCACUUCUGUGUCUGCACCAUCGACGUCUAGGCCGUACUUUUGCCAACGGACACCCCCCCACACACUACCUGUGCUUCAGACCCUUCAAAGUCACCUUCAGUGACACGUUCCGGCCA